rnacentral:rRNA from 1 species
UACGGAGGGUGCAAGCGUUGUCCGGAAUUAUUGGGCGUAAAGAGCGCGUAGGCGGUCUGUCGCGUCGGCUGUGAAAACCCGAGGCUCAACCUCGGGCCUGCAGUCGAUACGGGCAAACUAGAGUACUGCAGGGGAGACUGGAAUUCCUGGUGUAGCGGUGAAAUGCGCAGAUAUCAGGAGGAACACCGGUGGCGAAGGCGGGUCUCUGGGCAGUAACUGACGCUGAGGUACGAAAGCGUGGGGAGCGAACAGG